CAGCCCCUAGUGUCUAAACUCUAAAGUAAAAUCAUGGUAAAAUCGAACUAACUUGUGUUUUUUUGUCAUGUGAUUGUUGUUUACUCUGUUGGAACGUUGAAAACGUGUAUUUCAGUUACCCUCGUCUCAACAGUAUUAUUAUUUUUAAUGGUUAUUUUAACCUCUACCCCUAUGCACUACUUUGUUGCCUACACGAAAUGUCAGCUGUUGCAGUUGGGUUUAGAAUAAGGUAAUGUUAACAUACUUUUGGAAAACCAGGUCUUGUGUUGUAUCAUUCUGGGUAAAGUCAUUGUUACAAGCAGAACUAUGCAUGAUAUGUGGUGAAAAUUGAUGGUUUUUACAUUUUCAAUCAACAGCCAGGUUUCAGGAUAAUUAAGCACAUACUACUUUUACAUAUACAACGUAUUAAUGUAAUUUUGCUUCAGUUCUCUAGAUAUUUUUGGGUAUAUAUGUUCCUGAAUUAGUUCCAGCAGUUCCAGUUUGAAGUUGUGAAUGUUUUAUGGGCUUAUCUAAUUCCUACCUUUAAAUAGAAAUGAAUUGAUUUGUAAAUUAUAAUCAUUGGGUGUGUUCUGUUGUGAACUCUACUCUAUACAUGCCAUUACUUAUUGCAUAAUUUUAUUACUUUGUGAAUCAAUUGUAACUUAUUUUUAAUUAAAAUGCAGAUCUUCAUGCAGCCUUCUGUUGAUGUUCAUUCAAAAAUUCACAUGGAAAGUACUAAUUUCUCAAUGAAACUAGAUGUGCUAUUGACUGCCAAUAUUCUACUUCAGUUGGAUCUCCAAUUUACUGAGAAACUUUCUCUUCGAAUUAUGGUUAAUAAAGAAUUUAUUUAAUGUAAGUUUUAUUGUUUUGUUCAAGGACGUUUUGCAUUGAUAUUAUUUUGAUGUGUACCGCUCUAGAAUUAGUAGUAUUAGAAUAUCAAUGUAGUUAUCGCAAUAAAAAAUUACCAAUUCUUGUUUGAA